AGGUCGGAAGGUCUGCGGUCGGAUAGUCAGGUCGGUUGGUUAGCGGGUCAGAUGGUCCAUAGGUCGGAAGGUCUGCGGUCGGAUAGUCAGGUCGGUUGGUUAGCGGAUCGGAUGGUCCAUAGGUCGGAAGGUCUGCGGUCGGAUAGUCAGGUCGGUUGGUUAGCGGGUCGGAUGGUCCAUAGGUCGGAAGGUCUGCGGUCGGAUAGUCAGGUCGGUUGGUUAGCGGGUCGGAUGGUCUAUAGGUCGGAAAGUCUGCAAGUCGGCUGCUACGGAGGUUGGGCGAAGUAAGGUCUGG